UCCCUGUGUUUUUGAUGAUUGUCUGUGCUCUGUGCUUGACUUCAGCAGCAGCUAAUAAGUAACUCCUGAUCCAGCAAAACUUCCAAAGGUUGACAGAUAUCACUUGAGCUCCCAUUUCAGAGAUGGAAGCAUUCAUGAUAAAAUAUGGAGACUUUGGAACCAUGAGAAGAACACUCAGACUCCUGAGCAGCUGCCUGGGACCUCCACCACACGUGCAAAAAAGCUCAGUAUAUGUCUUGCUGAUACCUGUUCUUAAUGGCGUAAGGGUCACUGUAGCCAAACUGCUGUGUUAGGGACCAAGACUACGGAAAAAAAUUCAUCAGCUAUAUUUACACUGAUGCAGCAGAAUUGCCAGGUCACAGCCUGUACCAAUGGUUGAGCACCAGGUGAGAAGGUGUGACUAACCCAGGGAGCUCAGGUGCAAACAGUGCACCUGAGUGACAGAAAGGGGUGGACUCUGGGUCUGCCCCUCCUCUCCCUCAUUUAAGGGUUAGCAGCCAAGGGAACAACAUACCUUUAAGAGAGAUAGUGUUCUUCUUGAGCUGUUACUGGUUGUUGGAGGAGUGAGCCAAUUUUUCUGCUUUGUUACCUCCUGUUGCCCUAUAGUGCUUGUAUCCCUUUAGAAGCCACUGUUAUUGCCUUUUGCUGUACAACUGGUAAACUGAAGAGGCCAAUGCUCAGGCAUUGCUGUGCAGAGCUCUCACAGCUGAAUUGUGAGCAUGUUGCCUGGCAGUUUUGGCACUAUGACUUUUAGGGCUCUCUUAAAAGCUAUCUGGACGUGGCUUGGAGGAA
rnacentral:lncRNA from 1 species